GGGGCUAUAGCGCAGCUGGGAGCGUAUCACACUGGCAGUGUGGGGGUCAGGGGUUCGAACCCCCUUAGCUCCACCA
rnacentral:tRNA from 1 species